UUGGGGGGCGAUAACUGUGUUUAGGUUUAAUUUAAGCAUGAGCACAGCUGUGCGCACACGUGGGUCCUCAUACUUUCAGCAAACAGCCUGUGCUCAGUGCUCACCUGACAUAAACACGUUGAUGCGUCUAUGUGCUGCUUUUAUCGGCAGUAGCUGCUCCUUUAAACCGCUACACGAGAGCAACCGGUGGGAAAAUCAAAGAGGCACCAUGUGACAGCGAAUUCUUCCCAAGAUGUGAGGGUUCCAGAAUGUGCCACCACCUACUGAGCGUGUCCUGUUCACAGGAGCACGUCCUCUGAUUCAGCCUGUUGACAGGACUGACCGUAGCUCAGCAUGUGAGUCACAUAACGACCGGGAACAACCUGUUGCAGAGACGUGACACCUCCACAGUGAGCUGAGCUUAAACAGAUGAUCACACAGUUACUGUUUUAACAUUUUUCCUCUAUGAUUUGUGCACAUCCGUUUCACUCUCGACGUGUGCAUUUGUGGCCUGUAGGUCUUCAGCAGUUUUUUCCUCAUUUAAUUGAGCUGUUGACCUGCGGAGCUGCAGUCACCCGGUGACCUUCGACCUCUGACCUUAAUCUAUGUUCAGUCUGUGGUCAUGGGGUUAGUAGUUGUUCACCUGCUGCUCUUCUUCAUCUCUUCAUUUGAGUUCGAUCCAACAUUCUCUAAUACAAACCUGUUUUUUAGGUAAAUGAAACAAGCAAAUCGAUGUAAAUGGAAGAAACACGUCACCGUGUGUCUAAAACAGGUGUAAUCACAAAUGAUGCUCUUGUUGUUUACACUGGCUUCAUAAAAAUAUAGAAUUAAGUACAUUCUACAGUAGGAAGGUCUUUUCUUUUUCCACAGUGUUUUUUUAGACCUCAGUCACAGAAUUGAUUGUUUCUGGGUUGCAUCUCAUGCAUAAUCCUUCGAAUCAGUGCUGCCUGCAACAGCAAAUGAAUGAAUUAUCUUAAUGCUUAACAAGCAUUAAGAAGGACACGCCGGUGCAUCAAUGAGCCAUCUGCUGAUUGCCUUCAGACACACACAAAUCCAUUUUACCAACAUCUGCACUAAUUGAUUUCACAUAUUGGUCAGUUUUUAUUUCUGUCUGUAAAUGUAAUGCGUUAUCGUCCAGAUCCUGGCCGGUUGCAGGCGUUUGCAUGAUGUAAAAGAGCCCCUACCUCGAAGUAUGAUGCAAAGGCCCAGUGGAUGCAUGGGUCACCGGAAGUUAACCAGGUAGGAUUUCAUUUCUAGUCAUCGUGCGAGUAGGCAUCACCUUAAAGCCACAGGAGGGACGAUUACAAACACCAAGCAGUAUUUGCACAGACGCGUGAGUAAAACCCGUUGACAAAUCCCCACACGAGCCGCAAACACCUGCUGCUCAACAGGAAACUAGGUCGUGUCUUCGUUAUGUGGAUUUCCGCCGGUGUGAGGCGACCUGCCUCUGAGUCAGCUGAGCUGUGGCGGACGCAGGUAGAGCCUGGCUGACCUGGUUUCACGCACACACACACACACACACACACACACGGCAGGUUAUCUCCACAUGGUUAGUGUGUUUCUACACCACAUGAUGAAAUAUUGAAGAAACAGAGGAGGAGGAACUGUGUGUGUGUGUGUGUGUGUGUGUGUGUGUGCGCGCGCGCAUGCAUUAAACUUUACAGUCUCUUUUAUAACCGACGUGAUGAAAUCAGAGGCCAGGUGUCUGACUCAACUACGGCCUGACACUAGAACACACACACACACACAUGCACAUAAAUAACAUACACUUUUGUUCACACGCUUCCUGGGAUCAGCACCUGAACCGCAUCUGUGCUGCUGGGACGCGGGGGGGGGGUGGAUCUCCACCUGAGCCAGGCUCCGCGGCCUGUGGCUCUGGCUGCGUGCUGCAGCUUUAAACCCACCCAGCUGUCGGGUCUCUGCGCUCCGUGCCGGUGAUCUGUCUCUGUGUGUUUUGCUGCAGGGCAUCCUGAACCGCGGAGCCCCGGGGAGCGCGCGCUGAGUGAAAAUUUGCAGAAACAGUCAGAGCUUUAAGAGGCAGUUUAAGCCCCGGGGUGCCUCCUCUGUGGUCCCCGACCGCACGCACAAAAUGAGAGGUCACCAGGGAUGAUGCAAAACUGAGAUAAGAAGACACUUAAAUACUGCACUCCAGCUCAGUUUGUGUGACAUCAGUCUUCAUCUUCCAGUGAAACAAUCUGCAGCCUGGUGAGAUUUAAAUGUUAUUAUAAAAAUGUUUUAUUUGGGUUUUAUUUUUAAUUCACAGUUCUCAGCACCACCAAUUUAACUGUUUUAUGGGAGCACGUGAAUAAAGUCAGUUAAGCUCCUGCCUGAGGUAGCAUCAGUAAACUUUGUCAAUAACAAUCGGGCCUUUGGAGCAGAGGAGAUUAUUUAUGGAGGAAAGUUCUCCCCUGGAGGUGAGCACAGCGUUCCGUCUUUUCUACGUGACCCAUGACGUCUACACAGUCGCAGUUUCUAGUGAACUAAAUGCAUCAUCUCAAUAUGGGAACUUUGAAUGCGUCCUCCUAUUGUGAGCUUGUUCUGUUUUCCUGCUUUCCAUUUAAAGCCGUGAGUCGUCUGCACAUUAUAAUGUUUUCCUUUCAUUUACAGCUUCAUUGUCUUAUACAAAUGUAAACAUCAUGAGUUUCCAAACUGUAACUGCUUAUGACACCUUACACCUUGAACAUUGUCCAAAAAACAGCAGUGAGCGCUGAGAAUCUCUCCUCGUAGCGUUGAUCGCUGCACCAACAUCAUCCUGACCAGAAAUCAAAAAAGCUGCACGAUAAAGAAAAAAAAAAGCAAAGCAUAGUUUUUAUUUUUAAAAAAAUGAAACAAAGACUCAAACUAAAUCACCCGCUAGGAUUUGUCUUCCUCAGUUUCUCCCCAGGUGUGUUGCAUCAGCAGCUAAUUAGGAGUCUGCCUUGUCCCCCCAUGUGACCCUGGAAUCUCUCCCUCAUUAGCUAAAACCAAACACACAUCACAACAGCAGAGGGCGAGACUGUAACUGAUGAGCACAUGUCAAGUGGCUGUGUCAGAUCAGCGGCCGGGGAGGAGCUCAGCGGCUUCUGCUUUUGAUUGACAGAGACCCGGAGCGUGUUACCCAGCACACGCACGCUCAGCAGAGCAGCCCUGUA